rnacentral:rRNA from 1 species
GACGAACGCUGGCGGCGUGCUUAACACAUGCCAGUCGAACGGAAAGGCCCUGCUUUUGUGGGAUGCUCGAGUGGCGAACGGGUGAGACACACGUGAGUAACCUGCCCUUGACUUUGGGAUAACUACAGAAAACUGGGGCUAAUCCCGGAUAGGAGCCCCUGCUGCAUGGUGGGGGGUGGAAAGUUUCGGCGGUUGGGGAUGGACUCGCGGCUUAUCAGCUUGUUGGUGGGGUAGUGGCUUACCAAGGCUUUGACGGGUAGCCGGCCUGAGAGGGUGACCGGCCACACUGGGACUGAGAUACGGCCCAGACUCCUACGGGAGGCAGCAGUGGGGAAUAUUGCACAAUGGGCGGAAGCCUGAUGCAGCAACGCCGCGUGCGGGAUGACGGCCUUCGGGUUGUAAACCGCUUUCGCCUGGGACGAAGCGUGAGUGACGGUAAUGGGUAAAGAAGCACCGGCUAACUACGUG